GAAAUGCGAUAAGUAAUGUGAAUUGCAGAAUUCAGUGAAUCAUCGAAUCUUUGAACGCACAUUGCGCCCGCCAGUAUUCUGGCGGGCAUGCCUGUUCGAGCGUCAUUUCAACCAUCAAGCCCCCGGCUUGUGUUGGGGACCUGCGGCUGCCCGCAGGCCCUGAAAACCAGUGGCGGGCUCGCUGUCACACCGAGCGUAGUAGCAUACAUCUCGCUCAGGGCGUGCUGCGGGUUCCGGCCGUUAAAAGCCUUUUUUUACCCCAGGUUGACCUCGGAUCAGGUAGGAAGACCCGCUGAACUUAAGC
rnacentral:misc_RNA from 1 species